rnacentral:lncRNA from 1 species
UGGAGCUGGGCCUUGCAUGGGGAUUUUCUGCUGGAAGGUAGUAACUCCACAGCCCCACUGGGAUCAGAGGCUCACAGCUCUGACAGCUUGAAGAGAUUGCUGUAAUUAUAAGAAUGGAAAUAGUACUGAUUAUCAAGAGCUCGUUAGUGCAUAGUACGGAGAUGAUAUCAUCUUUUGAAAAGUCUUAAGAGGCUGCAAUCUGGCUUUCAUUUGCAAAUUUCUGUUCCCACCCUUAGUUUUUCUUUGUUCAUAUUUUGAGAGGAUAAACAAGCACUUUUUUUUGCAUUGAAAUAUGAACUAUUCCCAAGAGAAGAUGCUCCUCUAGGGGAAAUGCACUGGCCCUACCUGGGCCGAUGGAGAAUGACAUUGAAUGAGAAGUUGGCUGCUGCCAUCAGUGGAGAUGAUGCCAGAAGAACGAAAAGACCUGGACCUUGCUUCUAUCCACCCAGCUACCCAUCCUCCUUCCUCAUUCUUAUUUCCCCAAUAUUUUUCCCCCUCUGGAAAUAGGGGAGGCCUCUGAUGUGCCCUCAGUCAUACUUCUCUAUUUCUCUAGUCUUCUUAUUUUAAAAUUAGUAUACUAAUAUUUAUAAAGCUGUCAUGAAUACUUAUAAUUAAUAUCAAAUUUAUUAAUCAAUAAACAUGAUAUAAUUAAUUAUAUUAAUUUAUAAAUAAUAACUUAUAAACAUGCUAAUAUACAUAAAGACAUAAUGAAUGUAUGUUUUUUAUUUGUAUAAAUUUAAGGGGUAUAAGUGUAGUUUUGUUUCAUGGAUAUAUUGUAUAGUGUUGAAGUCUGGGCUUUUAGUAAAACCAUCACCUGUGUUAUGUACAUUGUAUGCAUUAAGAAAUUUGUCAUCCUUCA